rnacentral:lncRNA from 1 species
GCCCAGGACACCACACUGCUGAGUGUUUACUGCCAUUUGCUGCUUUUAGGUCGUUUUGCUUUAGGAGCUGAGAACUUAUAUAGGGAUGACAGGUCUAUUUUGGUGGCUGGGGAUAGGAGAGGGCAAAAGAACAGUCAACAGAGAUAAUGUUUCUUUUGUAAGUAGCCUUCAGAGCUAGGCAGAAAGGACCACAAUUAAUAACAUGAAGACCAAGGACUAGAGAAAAGCUUAAAAUUCAUUGAUACCUGAAUCGACAAAGAAUGGCCUCUAAAUUGACAGACAGCUGCCAUCUACUCUACUUUGUUUCCUCCAGGUACUUUUACUUUAUGAUUUUUCUUAUUGAAGGAAAGGAAAGGUGCUUGUUAUACAGUUUAUUUAAUGCAAAUUUGAUGGGUGUGAAUUUGAAAUCGUUUGACCUAAAACGUUAACAAACACUGAUUUAUUUUCCAUUGCUGGGCAUUGAACCCAGGGCUUCACGCAUGCUAGAGUAGCACUCUACAGCUGAACUGCAGUCCAGAUCUAAAAAGCUCUUAAUUGGUUACUCAGAAUUGAAAACAGAACAAACAAAAAC